rnacentral:rRNA from 1 species
AGGCUAUCCCAACUAACGGCGGGAAAGACUCCACGGAGGGUGUAAGACCCGUGUGGGCGCGUGUCAAAGCUGUGCGGGCUCGGCCUCUUUUCCCUGAGAGUCGCGUUGCUUGAGCAUGCAGCGCUAAGCAGGUCGUAAACUCGAUCUAAGGCUAAAUAUCUCCACAGAACCGAUAGCGAACAAGUACCGUGAGGGAAAGUUGAAAAGCACUCUGGAGAGAGAGUCAAAAGACCGUGAAACCGUUCAGAGUAU